UACGUAGGGUGCAAGCGUUGUCCGGAUUUAUUGGGCGUAAAGAGCGUGUAGGCGGCCAGAUAGGUCGGUUGUGAAAACUGGAUGGCUCAACCUCCAGACGUCGACCGAAACCAUCUGGCUAGAGUCCGGAAGAGGAGAGUGGAAUUCCUGGUGUAGCGGUGAAAUGCGCAGAUAUCAGGAAGAACACCCGUGGCGAAGGCGGCUCUCUGGGACGGUACUGACGCUGAGACGCGAAAGCGUGGGGAGCGAACAGG
rnacentral:rRNA from 1 species